UAAAGUAUUAGUUAGCCCAGAAAAGAACAUUUGCCAUGAAUUUACUCUCUCUCUCUGGCCAUGCAAGAAGUAGCUGAUGUUCCUUCUUCAGUAGAACAAAAGAUAAUUUUUAGCUGAACUCAUGGUCCUUGGUGAUUCAUAAAAUGCAGCUCAACGGGUGCCAUCACUUUGCGAGUCAAAAAACAUAAACAAGCAACAUAAAAUUAAUACCCAUGAUGGCACAAAAAUCUUGAGCUCCAGACUCUGGUUUUCCUGGUCAUAAUGUUAUAAUGUGCUGUCUGUAUCUGCUUUUUGACUUACAAAUUGGUGGCACCUGUUGACUUGAAGUUUAUGAAUCAUCAAGGAACAAGACUUCAGUUAAAAAUCAUCUUUAGUGUUCUACUAAAGAAAGAAAGUAGUUUACAUCUUGGUUGGCUGAAGGGUGAGUAAACGUCAACCUGAAGAACCAGAAAUAAAGUUGAUCUCACAGGAAAAGUGUCUGAAGUACUGAGUCAGCUCUUUAGGAUAUGUGACACUUCAGGUCAGUGGUUACUCUUCUUAAUGGCUGAUAGGGUUGAUUUCGGUUGUGUUGUUAUACAUACAGACGUUUUAGGGUGAUGCAUAGUAUUGUGUGGCUGUGCUGAUUAGAUUCCAUGUUAGAUCAAGAUUCUCAUACUCAAGUCUCUAAUUCUCACUCUGAAGGAAAUAUUAACAUCCAUGCUGCUGUCAAUGAUGUCCAUGAUGAGCUGCUGUCCUCCGUGCUCCCUCCGCCUAUCUGCUUGAGGAUGACUCCAACGUUCUCAAGAUGGGGGAUGUAGAACAAUCUGAUGAACCAGACGCUGAAGAUUUAUCACUUCGUCUCCUCUCCAUUAGUGACAAUUCAACAGUUGCCAUGUUCUUCUGCUCAGAGAAGACUGAAGUUGCACUUUGGGUAACAUAGUUAACGAUUUCCCCAUAUUGGCUCAUGCAUUUGUCAUGCUUUUUGGACUAACUUACGCAUUGGAUCUAAGUUCCCGAAAAGAUUUGGACAAUACAUUUGACUUUACCCGGAAAGUCUUGAUGGGUCUGGAGGAUGGGAAGCUGAGUCUUAAAAAUGGACUUUUGUCAGUAGAGUUUCCUCAGUGUUUUAACAAAGGUACUCCUUUAUUUGACAUUUCAUUUAAACUUUCACUUCUGUCACUUUUAGUGAAUUGUGUAUUUUUUUUUUUUUUUUUUUUUACAAUAUUUGUCUAGUAUUUAAAUUGCAGAACAUUUUCUCAGUUGAUUUUCUGGAAUGGUAUACAUUCCAUAUACAGUACCAUGUUCAUCCACUCAUAGAAAUGACAGUUUAAAAAAAAAAAUACAUUGCUCUAUUUUGAAUUCUUUCUCGUAUAUUCUAUUCUUGUAUAACUUUUAUAUUUCUAAAGUUACUGUUAGAUGUGAAUUUUGGAAGUGUUCCUAUUUUAGGGGAGUGUUUACAGCUGAGUGAUAUCCAGAUAUCCAUAUUGUCCACUUCUAAAAGUGACAGUUACUAUCAGCUCAUUUUUCAAGGACCUUGCACUGUUUUGGAGAAUGUAUUUCCAUUUGAUGUUGAACAAUUUAAUGUUGAUGUUUUGUUAAUGAUUUGUGCUUGCUUAAUAAAAGAGUAACUUGCAUUUAAAUUGUCUGUCAACCCAUUUUUGUUUUUUGUUUUUU